rnacentral:rRNA from 1 species
GGGUUAGUAGGUUGGUCAUGCCUCUGGUAUGUACUGGUCUCACUGAUUCCUCCUUCCUGAUGAACCGUAAUGCCAUUAAUUUGGUGUUGCGGGGAAUUUGGACUGUUACUUUGAAAAAAUUAGAGUGUUCAAAGCAGGCAAUCGAGCCUUGAAUACUUCAGCAUGGGAUAAUGGAACAGG